rnacentral:rRNA from 1 species
GACGAACGCUGGCGGCGUGCCUAAUACAUGCAAGUAGAACGCUGAAGGAGGAGCUUGCUUCUCUGGAUGAGUUGCGAACGGGUGAGUAACGCGUAGGUAACCUGCCUGGUAGCGGGGGAUAACUAUUGGAAACGAUAGCUAAUACCGCAUAAUAGCAGUUGUUGCAUGACAACUGUUUGAAAGGUGCAAUUGCACCACUACCAGAUGGACCUGCGUUGUAUUAGCUAGUUGGUGGGGUAACGGCUCACCAAGGCGACGAUACAUAGCCGACCUGAGAGGGGGAUCGGCCACACUGGGACUGAGACACGGCCCAGACUCCUACGGGAGGCCGCAGUAGGGAAUCUUCGGCAAUGGACGGAAGUCUGACCGAGCAACGCCGCGUGAGUGGAGAAGGUUUUCGGAUCGUAAAGCUCUGUUGUAAGAGAAGAACGAGUGUGAGAGUGGAAAGUUCACACUGUGACGGUAUCAUACCAGAAAGGGACGGCUAACUACGUG